GUACUCAGUUCGGCGGUACAUAUACUUAAAUUGGAACGAUACAGAGAAAAUUAGAAUGGCCGCUGCGCAAGUAUGACAAGCAAAAGAGAGAGUGCGACAUUCUU